rnacentral:rRNA from 1 species
GGACCGACCCUUCGGGGAGCCUAUACAGGUGUUGCAUGGCUGUCGUCAGCUCGUGUCGUGAGAUGUUCGGUUAAGUCCGCUAACGAGCGCAACCCUCGUCGUAUGUUAUAUGUGUCAUACGAGACUGCCGGUAAAAAGCCGGAGGAAGGUGAGGAUGAUGUCAAGUCAGCAUGACCUUUAUAUCCAGGGCUACACACACGCUACAAUGGUCUGUACAAUGGGUAGCCAAGCCGCGAGGCGGAGCCAAUCCUGAAAGCAGGCCUCAGUUCAGAUUGCAGUCUGCAACUCGACUGCAUGAAGCCGGAGUUGCUAGUAACCGCAGGUCAGCAAUACUGCGGUGAAUACGUUCCCGGGUCUU